GAGGCUUUAGCUUAAUUAAAGCGUCUGAGUUGCAUUCAGGGGACGUAUAUUAAAGUUAUACACCCCUUC
rnacentral:tRNA from 1 species